GACAUGACUCUCGGCAAUGGAUAUCUCGGCUCUCGCAUCGAUGAAGAGCGCAGCGAAAUGCGAUACGUGGUGCGAAUUGCAGAAUCCCGCGAACCAUCGAGUCUUUGAACGCAAGUUGCGCCCGAGGCCAAACAGCCAAGGGCACGUCUGCCUGGGCGUCAAGC
rnacentral:rRNA from 2 species